GGGAGCGCGAGUGCCGCUCGCCGGGCCGGGCCGGUGGCUGGGCACCCAGCGCCGAGCAUCGGCCCCGCAGCCCAGCCCGGCACAGCCCAGCCCUGCGCUGCCCGGCCCGGCCCGGCCUGGCUCGGCUCGGCUCGGCUCGGCACAGCCCGACCUGUCUCGCUCCUGGCCGCCCUGCCCCGGCCGUGCCCGCACCUUGGAGCGGACGGACGGAUGGACGGACGGAUGGCCGGCAUCCCCGACGGAGGGAUGUUUCUGUCUUUGGUUAUCUAGCUGUAUGAGUGUUGUGGAGCCAUCAUAAAGCUAGAUAACCGAAAGUAGAAAUGACUUCCAGACCUGCUCGCCCAGGGGAAGCGGCCGCACCAGGACCGGCAGUGCAGAGACGGCCGGACUCGCCGCCCUGGGGGCUCCAGACAUGACUGAGAGUUCGUGGAGUGGGAUGCCUUGGGAAGGGCUGGGACGUCUCCACCUGAGCAAGGAGAGAUCCCAGUGAGCGGACAAGGGACUUCUGAAGCCUGUGAGUUCCUUCUUGCAGUUGGCUACCACCUGCCCGGAUUUGCCAUCUGACUUCUCAGAGUUUCUCCAGGAGGAUCCCAACUGCUUUUCCAUUGGCCUCAGAGAGGAGACAGCUUUGUCUUAUGAACACAGUGGAUUUCUGCAUCACUUCGAAACACAGCAGUGCAGCCAUGGGGAGGGAGCCAGGGCAACACAGGGAGCCAAGGGAUCAUCCCACAUCACUCCUGCAUGCCGCCUUCAGUGCCCUCAAUACCCCAGAACAGGACCGAAGUGCCUAGGCAGAGAGACCUGAGCCAGUCACUGCCUCACCUGGUGAAAUACCAGGUGUGUGAAGUUUGGAGGGAGGUUUUAGCCCUCGGCUUUGCUCAUGGAGCAGAGCUUGGCCCUUGCUGGUCUUAAUCCCUGGGUCUGUGAAGCUGUGGGAGUGCAGCCUUCCUGAAGGCAGUGUGCUUGGGGCCCUGAGGACCGUGAGCCUAUCCAGGCCAAGCAGCCCUGCUGCUGUUUUACUGCACCUUCUCUGUUCCUGUAAGAGAAAUGUACUGCCUGUAAUUCUCUCCCAUUCAAAUCCCCCCCCGACCCCACCCCAUGCACUGUUGAAAAUAAACUCUCCCUUUUGCAAAAGUG